rnacentral:rRNA from 1 species
UCCCCUUCGGGGGCAGAGUGACAGGUGGUGCAUGGUUGUCGUCAGCUCGUGUCGUGAGAUGUUGGGUUAAGUCCCGCAACGAGCGCAACCCUUGAUCUUAGUUGCCAGCAUUCAGUUGGGCACUCUAAGGUGACUGCCGGUGACAAACCGGAGGAAGGUGGGGAUGACGUCAAAUCAUCAUGCCCCUUAUGACCUGGGCUACACACGUGCUACAAUGGACAGAACAAAGGGCAGCGAAACCGCGAGGUUAAGCCAAUCCCACAAAUCUGUUCUCAGUUCGGAUCGCAGUCUGCAACUCGACUGCGUGAAGCUGGAAUCGCUAGUAAUCGCGGAUCAGCAUG